UCGCUGUUGAAUAAUCAGUAUUUGCUGUGUUCGGAUGAUUUGUUCAAACAGCUGGUUUUAGUGAAUCAGAUCAUAGUUUUGUGCAUGCUCUUGCAUAUAUUUUUGUCCUCCCACAAAGAGGAAACAUCCAAAUUUCCCAGAAUCACACCACUAGGAAUUAACUGGAAUUUGACAGUCGCAAGUUAGAAAGAGCCAAGAAUUCUUCUCUCCAUUAGAAAUCCAAGCAUCUGCUGAAAUAAGCAUGAGAUUUCUACUACUAAGUGGAGAUAUUUCUAGAUAAUGGCAACGUUAGGAACAACCCCACAAGUGAGGUAAUUCUACUAAAGUGCUUAAAAAAAUAAUUAAAAAAGGCAUCCUGCUAUGCAGUCAGAAGCUGGGCUGUGGGGGGCACUGUCCUACAAGAAGGGGUGAUGCCCCUAAGCCAGACCCAGCAGAGGCCUAUUUACUUUGCAACACUGGGCAGUUCCCCUCCUGGCCCGGGACAGCCAACAGUCCCGCAGCAGCAGCAGGAGAUAAGGUCAGUUUUGCACUGACCACCCACGCUACAGGGCAGCUGGAAAGAUGGGGACAGCAUGGUUUCAAAAGUUAUUCAUUGGUUUUCCGCAUGGGUGCCAAGAUCUGUGCUGCUGAAAGCUGAGCAACUGAGUGUUCGUCUCUCCCUUUACAGGAUUGUUAUAAAAUAAUUUCCCCCUGUGACCAGUUUAGGCUGUUCUAAUGCACACUCAGAAAUGAGGCAUUGACUUUUAAAGAUCUUCCUGCCCUUAGGGUGACAGAUGAAAGAACAGGUCACAGCUUUGUUCUGCUGCAACGUGUCUGAAAGUGUUCAGAGGCAUGCUUUCAUUACAGCAAAAUUUCCACUGUCUCAUUGUUUUUUUGCAAGUUUGCAACCUACCUGUAGAGUAUAAAGGAACUGCUGGGAUGACCAAAACAGCUAUGAGACAUGAAUUUGCUCAUGUCAUUUAGGCAGCAAUAGCCAUCUCUUGGCAGCCGUGUCUGUUGAAGAGAGUACAGUGGCUUCCACCUGUAACGUGAACCUGGUGGCAUUUCUCAGCAGCUCAGCAGGCGUGCCCAAGCCCAGGAUAACAUCAAUUAAUUUAAUAAGCCAGAAUAUUGUCUUUACAAAGUAAAGUCAUCUGUUUAAGAGAAGUCCAAGGACGGUGCUUAGAUCACUUCGGUUGCUUGAGCAUACUGCUGCUUUAUCUCUGCCUUCGACUUUUGUCCCCAAUUUAAUACCACUGUUUUUAUGAGCCUGCAGUAACCAGCGGAAUCAAUUAAUUUAGAUGUUCCAGAUAACAAGGAAUUUGUUCUGCAGUAAAAAGGUCUCCAGUGAAGACUAAAAUGUUAGAGGCCCAGAGUGUGCAGCAAUUAGCAAUUUUUUUAUAAUGAGUGAGAAUGGAAAGGAGAAAAGCAAGAGUGAAAGAAGAAGAAAUACUUAUUACUUCAUUCUCUAGCAUUAACGUCCCAGUGCAUAUUAAGGCUGCAUUUUCCAUAGGAACAUCUUGGAUUCACUUGUCUAUCGUUUCCUAAACAUCUAAGCAUUAUACCAAAAUUUUCAUGCCGAGUGUUCUGGAAGAGCUAAAGUGAACAUGAUUCGGGAUGUUUCCAAGAACAAGUCUGAAAAAAAAUGCAUUUUCCCUCAUUUC
ensembl:lncRNA